rfam:Myotis davidii contig8383, whole genome shotgun sequence.
GGCAGGGCUCGGGUGAUGCAUCCUGGAAUUGGGUGCCCUCCUCUCUGAUUUCGGGUGCAUCACCUGAGAACCACC